GACGAACGCUGGCGGCGUGCUUAACACAUGCAAGUCGAACGGAAAGGCCCUGCUUUUGUGGGGUGCUCGAGUGGCGAACGGGUGAGUAAAACGUGAGUAACCUGCCCUUGACUUUGGGAUAACUUCAGGAAACUGGGGCUAAUACCGGAUAGGAGCUCCUGCUGCAUGGUGGGGGUUGGAAAGUUUCGGCGGUUGGGGAUGGACUCGCGGCUUAUCAGCUUGUUGGUGGGGUAGUGGCUUACCAAGGCUUUGACGGGUAGCCGGCCUGAGAGGGUGACCGGCCACAUUGGUACUGCGAUACGGCCCAGACUCCUACGGGAGGCAGCAGUGGGGAAUAUUGCACAAUGGGCGGAAGCCUGAUGCAGCAACGCCGCGUGCGGGAUGACGGCCUUCGGGUUGUAAACCGCUUUCGCCUGUGACGAAGCGUGAGUGACGGUAAUGGGUAAAGAAGCACCGGCUAACUACGUG
rnacentral:rRNA from 1 species